rnacentral:rRNA from 1 species
UAGGGAAUCUUCGGCAAUGGACGAAAGUCUGACCGAGCAACGCCGCGUGUGUGAAGAAGGUUUUCGGAUCGUAAAACUUUGUUGUUAGAGAAGAACAAGGACGUUUGUAACUUAACGUCCACUGACGGUAUCUAACCAGAAAGCCACGGCUAACUACGUGCCAGCAGCCGCGGUAAUACGUAGGUGGCAAGCGUUGUCCGGAUUUAUUGGGCGUAAAGCGAGCGCAGGCGGUUUCUGAAGUCUGAUGUGAAAGCCCCCGGCUCAACCGGGGAGGGUCAUUGGAAACUGGGAGGCUUGAGUGCAGAAGAGGGGAGUGGAAUUCCAUGUGUAGCGGUGAAAUGCGUAGAUAUAUGGAGGAACACCAGUGGCGAAGGCGGCUCUCUGGUCUAUAACUGACGCUGAGGCACGAAAGCGUGGGGAGCAAACAGG